AACGUGAAGACAGUCAUUCUUUCAAAAGAGGAAGUAUUCUCAUAUGACAAAAAAAUUAUGAUAGCGUAACUGGAAAGGAGUAAUGUAAAAGGAAAAAUUGAAAGCUUCAAAACCGAUGCACUUCACUAACCCUAUGAAUUUCAAAACCUUCAGAAGAAGUAAAGGACAAUUAUAGAGUGCCACAGGCCAUGGGCUACAGUACUUGGGCAUGGAGAGCAUAAACUGAAGCAGGAAUCCUUGUUGCAUCCAUAUUACUGGCAGUA